rnacentral:rRNA from 1 species
GACUUCGGGCUGGUGGCGAUUGGCGAACGGGUGAGUAAUGUAUCGGAACGUGCCCUGUACCGGGGGAUAACUACGCGAAAGCGUACCUGAUACCGCACACGCCCUACGGGGGAAAGCAGGGGAUCUUCGGACCUUGCACUAUUGGAGCGGCCGAUAUCGAAUUACCUAGUUGGUGGGGUAACGGCCUACCAAGGCCACGAUCCGUAGCUGGUUUGAGAGGACCACCAUCCACACUGGGACUGACACACGGCCCAUACUCCUACGGGAGGCAUCAGUGGGGAAUUUUGGACAAUGGGGGAAACCCUGAUCCAGCCAUCCCGCGUGUGCGAUGAAGGCCUUCUGGUUGUAAAUCACUUUUGGCAGGAAAGAAACGUCGCGGGCUAAUACCUCGCGAAACUGACGGUACCUGCAUAAUAAGCACCGGCUAACUACGUGCCAGCUACCUCGGUAAUACCUACGGUGCAAGCGUUAAUCUGAAUUACUGGGCGUAAAGCUUGCGCACGCGGUUCGCAAACAAAUAUGUGAAAUCCCAUAACUUAACUUUGGAACUGCAUUUUUAACUACCGGGCUAGAGUGUGUCAGAGGGAGGUGGAAUUCCGCGUGUAGCAAUUAAAUGCGUAGAUAUGCGGAGGAACACCGAUGGCGAGAGCAGCCUCCUGGGAUGACACUGACUCUCAUGCACGAGAGCCUGGGGAGCAAACACGAGUAGAUACCAUGGGAGUCCACGCCCUAAACGAUGUCAACUAGCUGUUGGGGUCUUCAGACCUUGGUAGCGCACCUCACGCGUUGACUGUGACCGACCUGGGGAGUACGGUCGCCAGGAUGAAUACUGCACAGCGAAGGUGACAAGCUACCCGCACUUGCGGUGGAUCCAUGUGGAUUCAGUUGCGAUGCGACGCUUAAAACCUUACCUACCCCUUGACCUGUCUCGGAGUGCUCGACGAACAUUUGACAGUGCUCGCAGAGGACUGCACCAUCGGUGCUGCAUGGAUGUCUGCAGCUCGUGUCGUGACAUGUCGUGUCAGUCCUGCUACGGAUCACACCCGUUGUCAUCACUUGCCUAUGAUAGUGCACUCCUAUGAUACUGUCGGGUGACCAUACCGUAGAAGCUGGAUGACGUCAGUACCUCAUGG